rnacentral:rRNA from 1 species
CAGCAGCCGCGGUAAUACGGAGGGGGCUAGCGUUGUUCGGAAUUACUGGGCGUAAAGCGCACGUAGGCGGCUUGGUAAGUUAGAGGUGAAAGCCUGGAGCUCAACUCCAGAAUUGCCUUUAAGACUGCCGAGCUAGCAGGUGAGAGAGGUAAGUGGAAUUCCGAGUGUAGAGGUGAAAUUCGUAGAUAUUCGGAAGAACACCAGUGGCGAAGGCGGCUUACUGGCUCAUACUGGACGCUGAGGUGCGAAAGCGUGGGGAGCAAACAGGAUUAGAUACCCGGGUAGUCCCUGUCUCUUAUAC